rnacentral:lncRNA from 13 species
AUCAGGCCAUCAGCAGGAUUUAUAUAAAGAGUAACUCUCCUAUGAAGGUAAAGGCCACCCCCACUUCAGUUCCAGUGACUGAGAUACAUUUUUCCAAUCCUGAGGGCAAAUAUAGAUGCAGCAAGUUCCUUCUUCCCUUUGGAAAUUUGGCAGAUGAUCAGUUUCAGACUCUUUGAGAAAGAGACACAGACCCGAAAUCCAUUGUGAGCUGCUUUGCGUCAUUCUCUCCCAUGACCACAGAGAAGCAUGUCUCUGGACCUUGAUUCUGAGAGGAAACAGAUUCACAGAAGCUGUACCACCACUGGUAGCACAAUGCUACUCUCAGGGUGGGCAUUCUCAUUUAUAAAGAAGAGUACUAGAAUAAA